rnacentral:rRNA from 1 species
GAGUUUGAUCAUGGCUCAGAACGAACGCUGGCGGCGUGGAUAAGACAUGCAAGUCGAACGGGAGAAUUGCUAGCUUGCUAAUAAUUCUCUAGCGGCGCACGGGUGAGUAACACGUGAGUAACCUGCCCCCGAGAGCGGGAUAGCCCUGGGAAACUGGGAUUAAUACCGCAUAGUAUCGAAAGAUUAAAGCAGCAAUGCGCUUGGGGAUGGGCUCGCGGCCUAUUAGUUAGUUGGUGAGGUAACGGCUCACCAAGGCGAUGACGGGUAGCCGGUCUGAGAGGAUGUCCGGCCACACUGGAACUGAGACACGGUCCAGACACCUACGGGUGGCAGCAGUCGAGAAUCAUUCACAAUGGGGGAAACCCUGAUGGUGCGACGCCGCGUGGGGGAAUGAAGGUCUUCGGAUUGUAAACCCCUGUCAUGUGGGAGCAAAUUAAAAAGAUAGUACCACAAGAGGAAGAGACGGCUAACUCUGUGCCAGCCGCCGCCGUAA